CCUACGGGAGGCAGCAGGGAGGAAGAGGGGGGAAGGGGCGUAAGCCUGAACCAGAGAAGGCGCGUGAGGGAUGAAGGUGCGAAGGAUCGUAAACCUCUGUUAUAAGGGAAUAAAGUGCGGGACGUGUCCCGUUUUGUAUGUACCUUAUGAAUAAGGAUCGGCUAACUCCGUGCCAGCAGACGCGGUAAUACGGAGGAUCCGAGCGUUAUCCGGAUUUAUUGGGUUUAAAGGGUGCGUAGGCGGCCUUUUAAGUCAGCGGUGAAAGUCUGUGGCUCAACCAUAGAAUUGCCGUUGAAACUGGGAGGCUUGAGUAUGUUUGAGGCAGGCGGAAUGCGUGGUGUAGCGGUGAAAUGCUUAGAUAUCACGCAGAACCCCGAUUGCGAAGGCAGCCUGCCAAGCCAUGACUGACGCUGAUGCACGAAAGCGUGGGGAUCAAACAGGAUUAGAUACCCGAGUAGUC
rnacentral:rRNA from 1 species